rnacentral:antisense_RNA from 1 species
CUUCACCGACCCGAGCCACAACGGCCGAUCGCGAUCACGGCCAUAGGUCGCCAGAAGCGCCUGCGCCUC